GACAGAGGAGCCAAGCGUUGUCCGGAUUGACUGGGCGUAAAGCGCACGCAGGCGGUCGCGCGCGUGGGGUGUGAAAUCUGGCCGCUUAACGGCCAGGCGCCAUCCCAUACGGCGCGACUGGAGUGAUGCAGAGGUCGGUGGAAUUGCCGGUGUAGUGGUGAAAUGCGUAGAGAUGGGGGAGAACACUCGUGGCGAAGGCGGCCAGCUAGACCAGUUCUGACACUGAGGCGCGACAGCGUGGGGAGCAAACAGG
rnacentral:rRNA from 1 species